rnacentral:lncRNA from 1 species
UCAAACCACAGAGAGGAAAAAGAAUAAAAACAAAAGAACAGAGGCUCACUGGCUCAUGGAACAAAUUCAAGUGGAUCAAUAGUGUAAUUUGUGUCUAGAAGGAGAGUAGGUGGGGGAAUGGAAAGAGAACAAGAGCCCAAGCACAGGAACCAUAAAGAAAAGGUAAUCAGAGGCGUGAGCCACCAUGCCCGGCCUAAAGUCUUAUAAUUUCCUAUAACCAACCAAUGAGGACAAAAACUGAAGCCAUGGCAUUUGUGGAGUACAAGUUGACAGAGGCAAGGAGGUAGGUUUGGUCAGGUGUGUUAAGGAGACAGUGAGUCUGGUCAGAAAGGAGUUUUCAAGGAGUGGAAAUGGCGCCUAGCCCUGGACUGGGAGGGAACACGAGUAGGAGAAAUUGAAAGGAGAGUUGUGUGACUGAGACCCAGAGCAAGGGAAAGUGGGCUGACAAAGGGGCAGGAGCCAUCUUAAAGUGCAUUAUGACCCUAAGAACAAUGGGAAGACAUCAAAAAGUCUUGGAUGGGUCCUGCAUUUUGCAUCCCCACCUACAAUGUGUGAGAGUUUCAUUUGCUCUGCAUCUUCACCAGCACUUUGUGUUGUCAACAUUUUUCUUUUACUUCAAUAGAUAGAAGUUAAAACUACAAUUAGCUAUCACUACAUUUGUGGUGGCAACUUAGCCUCUUAAGUUUUUAAGUGCACUACAUUUGUAGUGGUAGCUAAUUGUGGUUUUAAUUUAUAUUUCCCUUAUGACUAAUGAUAUUGAACAUCUACUUAAGUGUUUAUUUGCCUUCUUUAUGUCCUCACUGGUGAUGUGUUCAAAACCUUCGCCCAUUUUUUAGUGGGUUAACUGUUUUCUUCAUGUUAAGUUUUGAAUAAUCUUUACCUAUUCUAGAUACAAGUCCUUGGCCAGAUAGGUAAUUCGAAAAUGUAUUUUCCCAGUGUGUGUAUUGACUUUUCAUUCUCCAAGAUAGAUCUCUCACAGAGUAAAAGUUCUUAAUUUUGAUAAAGUCCAUUUGUCAAUUUUUAAAAAUAAAUUGUGCUUUUGGAGUCAUGUCUAAGAACUCUGCAUAAUAACAGAUAAUAAGAUUUUUUUCUAGGUUUUUUUCUAAAAGAUUUAUAGUUUUACCUAUUAUAUUUAAGUCUAUAAUCCAUUUGGAGUUAAUUUUUGUAUGAAGUAUGAGGUUUAAGUCAGGGUUCUUUUUUUGCAUAUAGGUUUUCAACUGUUUUAAUACCAUUUGUUGACAACAUUAUUCUUUCUCCAUUGAACUGUUUGUGCACCUUUGUCAGAAAUCAAUUAGCUGUCUGUUUUGGGGUCUAUUUUUAGACUCUAUUCUCUUCCAACAAUCCUGAACCUUUUCCUUUGUCAAUACCAUACUGUCUUAAUUACUCUAGCUUCAUAAUUAGUCUUAUUGUCGGGUGGUGUGAUUCCUCCAGUCUUAUUCUGUUUUCAAAUACUAAAAUAAUUGCUUUGAAUUUUCAUAUAAACUUUUUAUGACUUUACUUUUUGUUUUUUAAAUGUUUAUAACAGAUAUAUUAUUUUUUUCACUGUUGUAAGGACACUUAACAUGUCAACAUAUCUACCCUUUUAAGUUUUUAAGUGCACAAUAUUAAUUGUAGGCACAAUAUUGUACAGUAGAUCUCUAGAACAUGUUUGUCUUGCAUAACUGAAACUUCAUACCCAUUGAAGACGAAUCCCUCAUUGCCCUCUUCUCUUUAUCCCUGGCAACUACAGUCCUACUCUCUUAUUUUAUGUAUUUGGCUAUUUUAGAUAUCUCUUAUAAGUGAAAUCAUACAGCCAUUUGUUUUUAUGUGAUUGGCUUCUUUCACUUAGCAUAAUGUCCUUCAGGUUCAUUCAUGUUGUCACAUAUGGCAGGAUUUACUUCUAUUUUAAGGCUAAAUAGUGUUCCAUUGUGUAUAAAUACCACCUUUUAUUUAUCCAUUCAUCUGUUGACAGACACUUAGGUUGAUUCCAUAUCUUGGCUAUUAUGAAUAACGCUGCAACAAACAUGGAAAUGCAGAUAUCUCUGUAUAUGUUCUUAGGAGGUAUGUCUAUUCAAGGUUCUUUGCCAAUUUUUUAGUUGGGUUAUUUUAUUUUUAUGCUAUUCAGCUGAAGGUGUUUUUUAAUCUUAUUUUAGAUACUAAACUCUUAUCAGAAUAUGGUAUGCAAAUAUUUUCUCCCAGUCUGUUGAUUGUUUCCUUUGUUAUA